rnacentral:rRNA from 1 species
GAUGAACGCUAGCUACAGGCUUAACACAUGCAAGUCGUGGGGCAGCGGAUACUUAGCUUGCUAAGUAUGCCGGCGACCGGCGCACGGGUGAGUAACGCGUACCGAACCUGCCCAUCACACAGGGAUAGGCUUGCGAAAGCAAGAUUAAUAUCUGAUUGUCUCAAUUUUAUGCAUGUAUGAUUGAGUAAAGCCUUCGGGCGGUGAUGGAUGGCGGUGCGUCCCAUUAGGAAGUUGGCGGGGUAACGGCCAACCAAUCCUUCGAUGGGUAGGGGUUCUGAGAGGAAGGUCACCCACGAUGGAAGUGAGAUACGGUACAAACACCUACGGGAGGCAGCAGGGAGGAAUAUUGGACAAUGAACGAGAGCCGGAACAAGGCAAGUAGCGUGCGGAAUGAAGGCCGUUGUGAACGUAAACCGAUUUUAUCAGAGAAUAAAGUGCACCACGUGUGGUGUCAUUGCAGGUAGCUGAAGAAAAAGGAACGGCUAAUUCCGUG